rnacentral:snRNA from 1 species
UCCUUUUCAGACCAAACUGG